CAGAUUUUCAGGACCUAAGAAGAUCCGGCCCUCUUAGUGCGGCUGCAGCCUCGGCGGGCUUCUGCUCCCGGGCAGUGUCUCUGGUCUUGAAAUUGCGCAGAGUCCAGAGCUAUGCCUCUCCAAGCUCAGAAGACGAGUAGUUUUGUUGUUUUGUUUUGUUUUGUUUUGUUUUGUUUUGUUUUGUUUUGUUUUGUUUUGUUUCUGUUUUCUCCGAGCAGGAGGGAGUCAGGGUGUUCUGCCUGUUGGAUGGGAGUGCAUUUCAGGGUCCCAGGAGGGACCGCUUGGCUUGGAUUAGCCCCUGUUUUCUCUGGUGCCCUAGAGGGACCGAAGACAACUUUCACACGCCUUCCGGCAAGUUUGUGGUUUGUCUUCUGGUUCCAAAACCAAAAGUUCUUCUAAGAGCGAGGACUGAAGAAGGGCAGCGUCGGGGAGCAGUGAGACUCGCUGCCAGCUAGGCUUGGACUCAGCCCGGUAGAGCUCCUCUCCGCGGGCUGCGCAGCGCGCUCGUGGGUCGUGCGCCCUGCUGGGAGACCGAACUCGGCUGCGGAGUGCCCGUGAGGACAGUGGCAGACGCCGCCUCAGGGAUCCAGAGGACGCUGCUGUGGUGUUCGUGGUUCCGCUGAGCUAGGAAUCACUUCCAGCCGAAGACUGGGAGACCGGGAAGAGCCUCUGCCGCCCGCGGGGAGCGGGCAGCGCCUACCGGUGUGCGCAAUGGGAAGGUAUGAGCGGAGCAGCGCGCGGAGCCGGCUGGCAGGGCAACCAGAAGGGCUGGGGACCUUGGUAAAGGCAUGAGGAGAAGUGUUAAGGACAUGUUUGUUUAACAAAACAGCUGAUCAAGGACACUGCUUACCCUGGAAGUCCGGAGUUCCCAGGUUUCACAAGGGAGGCUGGGAGACAGCUGCUGAAGAUAAAGGAAGUCAAGAAUUGGUCUUCCCAGUAAGACAGGUGGAGGACUGAGCUCAUUUGGCUUGCUGUUUUUAUCUCUGUGCUGAAAGACAAGGACAUACCUGCCUUGCCUGGAGCUUCUGGUUACAGCUGUGUGCUGGCCUUACAACAGGCUGGCCUUAAAGACAGACCAGGUCCUAAGGGCAAACCAAAAGGAGGUAGGCAAGAGACAGUAAGAAGCAAACACUUUACCUUGUGAAGUUAAGAUUUAGGUCUGGAAAUAGAUCCCCUACCCCCAGGGCUCUCUCUGGUCCCCUGCUGGUCCUCUCUUCCUGCUUCUCCCUCAGAUCACCUUCCUAGAUCCUGCCACUCCAGAGUGACUCCUAAAGACUGGAAAGGGAAAGAGGAGUUAGCAGAGAUGGAAGUGGAGGUCCAACCCCAGCCUUGAACUGACUGUGACCCAUACAGAGCUGCCAGACAGUGAGGCAGAACCUCUCCUGCCUGGGCUCCUCUGCCCCAGCGCCAAAUGGCUUCGUAUGCUUAUGCCUCAAAUGGAGCUGCAUCUGAAUGCUAUGUCUGCCGCUCACUAUGUACAGAUGACUGGAAAACUGCAGAAGAGCAGGCAAGUCACCCAGAACUCUGCACAGAGAUGAAGACAGUUCGAAAUAUUGAUACUUCAAUUUCCCAUCUGUCGUUUUUCAUUCUGUUGAUUUUGCAUUUAGCUCAGGCUUGACUCAAACUCUGCAGCCAUGGGUUACUCAAAGCCAUUUGAAUUCCCAGUUUAGAGAAUCCCUGGUGGAUGGUCCACUGUUUCCAGAAGCACAGGGAACAUCUGUGAAGAGAGUCACGAGCAUCUUUGGCUAUGGUGCUGUGCCAGUCUGAUCCUGCAAGGCUUGCUUUCAGAAUGCAGGCCAGCGCACGAGCUUGGACCAGCAGGCAGCAGAGGAGCCCAGGUCAUGUCAUUGCUGCUGAUCCUUGGCAUAUUUCAUGCAACAGCACACACAGGAGCAUGGCUAACCUCUCAGAAUUGGAGUUUAACACACCCCAGGACAGGAUAUGACAAUCAAGCUGCUACCACAGUCCCUGGUGUUUUUCCAGAGACACCUGAGUCUGUUUCCUGUAAUGGCGACUGCUGGUGGGCCCUCACUGGAUGCUUCUUCUCCAUUUUCUCAGGCAGGUUCAUAACAAGAAACACCUUAUCCCUACAGGAAAUCCCACAACCUUUAGCAAUGACUAUUCAUUGCCAUUUGAUAAGUAGUACCCCCCUGUGCGCCAGGGGCUAGAGAGUGCAAAUUUGAACAAAUUAAGACCACAGACUGCGUUUUAAUAAGGACAAGGAAGGCACAUCUGAAGAGUUCCCGUCUGGAGGAAGAAUGCACUUUCCUGGUUAGGAGAAGCAGCGGGACACAGGGGCCAGACCGCUCAGGGCUUUGAGGAGAUGCUGAAGUUAACCAGAAAUGCUUUGUGUUGCCGUUCCUGUUGAAACGUUUCUGAGAUUGCUUCUACAUGCUGCAGGAGGUUUUGAAAUGCUGCACUAGAUCUCUUAAGAACAGAUGUAUUCAAGCAACUGUCCAGACCAACUGACAGAGGAGAGUCAGGCAUCCUGAAAGGGGCUGGGAAGUUUAUGAAGAUGGGUUAGACUUAGUCUGCACAGCCUGGGGAUCCUGGAUGAGAACUGACUUAUGACAAUAUCAGCAAAAGAAAAAAAAAAUAAAUCCACAGUGUUAUAGCUACAGAACAGUGAUGGGAGUGACGGCCCAGGGGCAUGGACCAAAUCAAGCAUCGUGCUUGAGCUCUUAGACAAGCUUGGACUGCAAGCUCUUGCACUUCCUACGGUCAGGUCCGUACAGCUGUUCUACGUAAGCAUAAAUGUAUUUAUGCAAGUGUAAUGUAUCAUCAUCAGUCAGGCUGGAACAUCUGCAGUGCUCCAGUGUGUGACCCUUUUUCUCCGAGUUGUAACCACACCAUCCUUAGCAAGUUAGCCUUUUGGCUUAGAAAUUUAGACAGCUUUCCGGUGAUAGGUUAUUAGAGAGGGGUGCAAUUUUAAAGACAAAACUAGAAAUGCCAUGAUCACUUCACUUGGCUUUCUUUGUGUCUGUCUUAAUCUCAACCUUGGAAAACACUAAAGUCCGUGGAGGAAGUGGAACAGACUGGCUCAGAACACCAGAGAAGCAGGCUCACUUCUGAUCAGGAGUAUCCCAUCACCGUGGAUAAGUCAUUCAGGUUUCCUGCAUUUCUGUGAAGUGUGGAAAUAGCUGGAAAGGUAGAGGGCUACUCAUCAUCAAAGAUGCUUCCAUGUCCUUUUAAUAUUUCUGUUACAUAUUAAACCAUGUUUCACAUGCA
rnacentral:lncRNA from 1 species